UACGUAGGGUGCGAGCGUUGUCCGGAAUUAUUGGGCGUAAAGAGCUUGUAGGCGGUUUGUCGCGUCUGCCGUGAAAAUCCGGGGCUCAACCGCGGACUUGCAGUGGGUACGGGCAGACUAGAGUGUGGUAGGGGAGACUGGAAUUCCUGGUGUAGCGGUGAAAUGCGCAGAUAUCAGGAGGAACACCGAUGGCGAAGGCAGGUCUCUGGGCCGAUACUGACGCUGAGGAGCGAAAGCGUGGGGAGCGAACAGG
rnacentral:rRNA from 1 species